rnacentral:rRNA from 1 species
AUUCCAGCUUCAUGCACUCGAGUUGCAGAGUGCAAUCCGGACUACGAUCGGUUUUCUGGGAUUAGCUCCCCCUCGCGGGUUGGCAACCCUCUGUUCCGACCAUUGUAUGACGUGUGAAGCCCUACCCAUAAGGGCCAUGAGGACUUGACGUCAUCCCCACCUUCCUCCGGUUUGUCACCGGCAGUCUCCUUAGAGUGCUCUUGCGUAGCAACUAAGGACAAGGGUUGCGCUCGUUGCGGGACUUAACCCAACAUCUCACGACACGAGCUGACGACAGCCAUGCAGCACCUGUGCGCCGGUUCUCUUUCGAGCACUCCCACCUCUCAGCGGGAUUCCGACCAUGUCAAGGGUAGGUAAGGUUUUUCGCGUUGCAUCGAAUUAAUCCACAUCAUCCACCGCUUGUGCGGGUCCCCGUCAAUUCCUUUGAGUUUUAAUCUUGCGACCGUACUCCCCAGGCGGUCAACUUCACGCGUUAGCUACGUUACUAAGGAAAUGAAUCCCCAACAACUAGUUGACAUCGUUUAGGGCGUG